rnacentral:lncRNA from 1 species
GGGGCGGGUCUGAGGAGCUCAAGCUGGGGCUUAGUGGCUCAAGGUCUCUUCCUGAUGCCUUCGGAUCUGGAUAUAGAAUGCUCUCCUCCUCUCAAGCACCAGGUCUGCCUACACACGGCUGUGCUUCCCACCAUGAUGAUAAUGAACUAAACCCCUGAAACUAAGCCAGCCCAGAGUAUGUUUUCCAUCAUGAGAGCUGCCAUGGUCAUGGGGUCUCUUCACAGCAAGAGAACCCCUGACUCAGACAGUGAGUUUGGAGGUGAGAUGACGAUUGUGAGGAAUCAGCUCUCUCUUUCCAUCACUGCGGAUCCCAGGGAAGGACGUUAGGUCGUCAGCUCAGUGACAAGCGUCUGUACCUCUAAUCCAUCUCGACCCUGCCCUUUGCAGUAGCCAUGUCUGUUUGUCAACUUGAUGAUACCCGGAAUGAGCAAUCAUCCAGAAGUGGAGGACAUACCUAUGGGAGAUGACUCCGCUGGUUUUGUAGUGGAUGAAUCUACUUCUAGACCAGCUUUGAGGUGAGAUCUGGAUCUUGAGGUGGGAAGACAUACCUUUAACCUGGGCCACACCCUCUGCUGGAAGUCUAUGGAAGAGGACGACAUAGGAAGCUUUCGUUCUUUGCCUGCUCACCCUCGCCUCUCGAGCACAUCCAUCCCUUCACUGGCGUUAGCGCCGCCUACUUCUGCGGGAUUCCGGCAGAUACAGGAGAUCAGCUGAGACAUCCAGCCUUGUGGACCAAGCAACCACUGGAUUCUUGGGCUUUAUGUUCAUGGUCAAUUGUUGUUUGAUUAGCUGGACAACAGCCUCUCUCUCUCUCUCUCUCUCUCUCCAUAUAUAUAUGUAUAUAUAUGAGAUAGAUAGAUAGAUAGAUAGAUAGAUAGAUAGAUAGAUAGAUAGAUAGAUAGAGAAAAGUAGAUAGACAGAGAGGGGGGAGAGAGAUUCAUUCUAUAAGUUCUGCUCUAGAGAACCGUGACGAAUACACCUUCUUCUUAACCUUCUUCUUCUUCUUCUUCUUCUUCUUCUUCUUCUUCUUCUUCUUCUUCUUCUUCUUCUUCUUCUUCUUCUUCUUCUUCUUCUUCUUCUUCUUCUUUUUCUGAGAGAUAGUCUCCCAUAGUUGCUCAGGCCCUUGGGCUUCCUCUUCAGCACAAAUAGCUUUGAAUUUUCUCUCCUGUCUCAGCCUCCAGUAGCUAUAGUCUGUUGCCACCAGGUUUGGCUUACUAGCAUUAUUUUGACACCACUAAUUUUGUGUCAUAGCAUCAAUAGAAAAACCAGCUGAGUCUAGUCAAUGGAAAACCCAAAACAAGACGUUAGCAUAGGUGCCACCAGCAAUAUCUGCAGAAGACCACGGACUCGGAGUGGAGUCCAGCAUCUGCUCAGUACACCAAGCAAAUGUCGGGAAAGUUCAAAGGCAGGAUCUGCGAAUCAUUGGCUCCUGGAGACCCUGAAAUGGACUGAGCAGCUAACUAUUAAGUCCUGUGUGUAUGUGUCAGUUCUCUUGCUCUGCAGACACCUUCAGAAUUCAGCGCUGGCUGCCGUUCUUAGAACCUGUUCUGUUCUUGGAGCAGUGUCAUUGUUGUAUUGUUUUCUUUGUUCAACUAAACUCUACUUCCUAUGAUAGGACUAAGGAAUUCUUCCUUUCCUCAACACAAUUAUAUCAAUGAUUAAAUAUGAAAUGUGCGGACCCAGCUACUAAAUACCAGACUUGUCAG